UACGUAGGGUGCAAGCGUUGUCCGGAAUUACUGGGCGUAAAGGGCGCGUAGGCGGCCCGUCAAGUCCCGUGUGAAAGCCCCCGGCUCAACCGGGGAACUGCACGGGAAACUAGCAGGCUUGAGUUCGGGAGAGGGAAGCGGAAUUUCGGGUGUAGCGGUGAAAUGCGCAGAUAUCCGAAGGAACACCGGUGGCGAAGGCGGCUUCCUGGACCGACACUGACGCUGAGGCGCGAAAGCUAGGGGAGCAAACGGG
rnacentral:rRNA from 1 species